AACGAACGCUGGCGGCGUGGAUAAGACAUGCAAGUCGAGCGCGAUACAUCCUGCAGCAAUGUAGGAUGUGUUGAGCGGCGCAAGGGUGCGUAACACGUGGGUAAUUUGCCAUGAAGUUUGGGAUAACUCGCUGAAAGGCGAGCUAAUACCGGAUGUGAUAAUCGGGAGGCAUCUCUUGAUUAUUAAAGUUGGGGACCGCAAGGCCUGACGCUUCUUGAUAAGCCCGCGGCCUAUCAGCUAGUUGGUGAGGUAACGGCUCACCAAGGCUAAGACGGGUAGCUGGUCUGAGAGGACGACCAGCCACACUGGAACUGAGACACGGUCCAGACACCUACGGGUGGCAGCAGUCGAGAAUUUUUCACAAUGGGCGCAAGCCUGAUGGAGCGACGCCGCGUGGGGGAUGAAGGGCUUCGGCCCGUAAACCCCUGUCAUUUGCGAACAACCUACGCUAUUUAAAAGUAAUGGCGAGCUGAUGGUAGGCGG
rnacentral:rRNA from 1 species